rnacentral:rRNA from 1 species
ACCCGUCUUGAAACACGGACCAAGGAGUCUAGCAUGUGCGCGAGUCAUUGGGAAUCACACUAAACCUAAAGGCGUAAUGAAAGUAAAGGUUCUCCUCGCGAGAACCGAGGGAGGACGGGCGGUUUCCACCCUUAAAAGUGGCCGCUCCGCACUCCCGGGGCGUCUCGUUCUCAUCGCGAGAAGAGGCGCACCAAGAGCGUACACGCUGGGACCCGAAAGAUGGUGAACUAUGCCUGGUCAGGACGAAGUCAGGGGAAACCCUGAUGGAGGUCCGUAGCGAUUCUGACGUGCAAAUCGAUCGUCGGAACUGGGUAUAGGGGCGAAAGACUAAUCGAACCAUCUAGUAGCUGGUUCCCUCCGAAGUUUCCCUCAGGAUAGCUGGCGCUCGUCGCGCACGAGUCUCAUCCGGUAAAGCGAAUGAUUAGAGGCAUUGGGGUCGAAACGACCUCAACCUAUUCUCAAACUUUAAAUGGGUGAGAUCUCCGGCUUGCUCGAACUCACACACGCCUAUUAAAAUAGGUUAGUUGAAGCCGCGAGACACGGAUCAGAGUGCCAAGUGGGCCAUUUUUGGUAAGCAGAACUGGCGCUGUUGGAUGAACCAAACGUCGAGUUAAAGCGCCUAAAUCGACGCUUAUGGGAUACCAUGAAAGGCGUUGGUAACUUAAGACAGCAGGA